GGGUUGUGAGGUUAAGCGACUAAGCGUACACGGUGGAUGCCCUGGCAGUCAGAGGCGAUGAAGGACGUGCUAAUCUGCGAUAAGCGUCGGUAAGGUGAUAUGAACCGUUAUAACCGGCGAUUUCCGAAUGGGGAAACCCAGUGUGUUUCGACACACUAUCAUUAACUGAAUCCAUAGGUUAAUGAGGCGAACCGGGGGAACUGAAACAUCUAAGUACCCCGAGGAAAAGAAAUCAACCGAGAUUCCCCCAGUAGCGGCGAGCGAACGGGGAGCAGCCCAGAGCCUGAAUCAGUGUGUGUGUUAGUGGAAGCGUCUGGAAAGGCGCGCGAUACAGGGUGACAGCCCCGUACACAAAAAUGCACAUGCUGUGAGCUCGAUGAGUAGGGCGGGACACGUGGUAUCCUGUCUGAAUAUGGGGGGACCAUCCUCCAAGGCUAAAUACUCCUGACUGACCGAUAGUGAACCAGUACCGUGAGGGAAAGGCGAAAAGAACCCCGGCGAGGGGAGUGAAAAAGAACCUGAAACCGUGUACGUACAAGCAGUGGGAGCACGCUUAGGCGUGUGACUGCGUACCUUUUGUAUAAUGGGUCAGCGACUUAUAUUCUGUAGCAAGGUUAACCGAAUAGGGGAGCCGAAGGGAAACCGAGUCUUAACUGGGCGUUAAGUUGCAGGGUAUAGACCCGAAACCCGGUGAUCUAGCCAUGGGCAGGUUGAAGGUUGGGUAACACUAACUGGAGGACCGAACCGACUAAUGUUGAAAAAUUAGCGGAUGACUUGUGGCUGGGGGUGAAAGGCCAAUCAAACCGGGAGAUAGCUGGUUCUCCCCGAAAGCUAUUUAGGUAGCGCCUCGUGAAUUCAUCUCCGGGGGUAGAGCACUGUUUCGGCAAGGGGGUCAUCCCGACUUACCAACCCGAUGCAAACUGCGAAUACCGGAGAAUGUUAUCACGGGAGACACACGGCGGGUGCUAACGUCCGUCGUGAAGAGGGAAACAACCCAGACCGCCAGCUAAGGUCCCAAAGUCAUGGUUAAGUGGGAAACGAUGUGGGAAGGCCCAGACAGCCAGGAUGUUGGCUUAGAAGCAGCCAUCAUUUAAAGAAAGCGUAAUAGCUCACUGGUCGAGUCGGCCUGCGCGGAAGAUGUAACGGGGCUAAACCAUGCACCGAAGCUGCGGCAGCGACACUAUGUGUUGUUGGGUAGGGGAGCGUUCUGUAAGCCUGCGAAGGUGUGCUGUGAGGCAUGCUGGAGGUAUCAGAAGUGCGAAUGCUGACAUAAGUAACGAUAAAGCGGGUGAAAAGCCCGCUCGCCGGAAGACCAAGGGUUCCUGUCCAACGUUAAUCGGGGCAGGGUGAGUCGACCCCUAAGGCGAGGCCGAAAGGCGUAGUCGAUGGGAAACAGGUUAAUAUUCCUGUACUUGGUGUUACUGCGAAGGGGGGACGGAGAAGGCUAUGUUGGCCGGGCGACGGUUGUCCCGGUUUAAGCGUGUAGGCUGGUUUUCCAGGCAAAUCCGGAAAAUCAAGGCUGAGGCGUGAUGACGAGGCACUACGGUGCUGAAGCAACAAAUGCCCUGCUUCCAGGAAAAGCCUCUAAGCAUCAGGUAACAUCAAAUCGUACCCCAAACCGACACAGGUGGUCAGGUAGAGAAUACCAAGGCGCUUGAGAGAACUCGGGUGAAGGAACUAGGCAAAAUGGUGCCGUAACUUCGGGAGAAGGCACGCUGAUAUGUAGGUGAAGUCCCUUGCGGAUGGAGCUGAAAUCAGUCGAAGAUACCAGCUGGCUGCAACUGUUUAUUAAAAACACAGCACUGUGCAAACACGAAAGUGGACGUAUACGGUGUGACGCCUGCCCGGUGCCGGAAGGUUAAUUGAUGGGGUCAGCGCAAGCGAAGCUCUUGAUCGAAGCCCCGGUAAACGGCGGCCGUAACUAUAACGGUCCUAAGGUAGCGAAAUUCCUUGUCGGGUAAGUUCCGACCUGCACGAAUGGCGUAAUGAUGGCCAGGCUGUCUCCACCCGAGACUCAGUGAAAUUGAACUCGCUGUGAAGAUGCAGUGUACCCGCGGCAAGACGGAAAGACCCCGUGAACCUUUACUAUAGCUUGACACUGAACAUUGAGCCUUGAUGUGUAGGAUAGGUGGGAGGCUUUGAAGUGUGGACGCCAGUCUGCAUGGAGCCGACCUUGAAAUACCACCCUUUAAUGUUUGAUGUUCUAACGUUGACCCGUAAUCCGGGUUGCGGACAGUGUCUGGUGGGUAGUUUGACUGGGGCGGUCUCCUCCUAAAGAGUAACGGAGGAGCACGAAGGUUGGCUAAUCCUGGUCGGACAUCAGGAGGUUAGUGCAAUGGCAUAAGCCAGCUUGACUGCGAGCGUGACGGCGCGAGCAGGUGCGAAAGCAGGUCAUAGUGAUCCGGUGGUUCUGAAUGGAAGGGCCAUCGCUCAACGGAUAAAAGGUACUCCGGGGAUAACAGGCUGAUACCGCCCAAGAGUUCAUAUCGACGGCGGUGUUUGGCACCUCGAUGUCGGCUCAUCACAUCCUGGGGCUGAAGUAGGUCCCAAGGGUAUGGCUGUUCGCCAUUUAAAGUGGUACGCGAGCUGGGUUUAGAACGUCGUGAGACAGUUCGGUCCCUAUCUGCCGUGGGCGCUGGAGAACUGAGGGGGGCUGCUCCUAGUACGAGAGGACCGGAGUGGACGCAUCACUGGUGUUCGGGUUGUCAUGCCAAUGGCACUGCCCGGUAGCUAAAUGCGGAAGAGAUAAGUGCUGAAAGCAUCUAAGCACGAAACUUGCCCCGAGAUGAGUUCUCCCUGACUCCUUGAGAGUCCUGAAGGAACGUUGAAGACGACGACGUUGAUAGGCCGGGUGUGUAAGCGCAGCGAUGCGUUGAGCUAACCGGUACUAAUGAACCGUGAGGCUUAACCUUACAACGCCGAAG
rnacentral:rRNA from 1 species